GCAUAAUGUCCCUUUGAAACUGUGUCUAUUAUGUCUCCACAGUGUCAGCACAUGCCCUGGGGUACUUACAACUGCCAGGAUCAACUCAAGUUAACCAUAUUUCUACGGACACAGGGACUUGGACACCUGCUGAAUGCUCCAUCUGGCGCCAACGUUUCACUGCUGCUACUGCUGCUGCUAAGUCGCUUCAGUCGUGUCCAACUCUGUGCGACCCCAUAGACGGCAGCCCACCAGGCUCCCUGAUGCCUGAGAUUCUCCAGGCAAGAACACUGGAGUGGGUUGCCAUUUCCUUCUCCAAUGCAUGAAAGUGAAAAGUGAAAGUGAAGUCGUGCAACCCCAUGGACUGCAGCCCACCAGGCUCCUCUGUCCAUGGGAUUUUCAAG
ensembl:lncRNA